rnacentral:misc_RNA from 1 species
GAUGAAGAACGUAGCGAAAUGCGAUAAGUAGUGUGAAUUGCAGAAUUCAGUGAAUCAUCGAAUCUUUGAACGCACAUUGCGCCCCUUGGUAUUCCAUGGGGCAUGCCUGUUCGAGCGUCAUUUGUACCUUCAAGCUCUGCUUGGUGUUGGGUGUUUGUCUCGCCUCUGCGUGUAGACUCGCCUUAAAACAAUUGGCAGCCGGCGUAUUGAUUUCGGAGCGCAGUACAUCUCGCGCUUUGCACUCAUAACGACAGCGUCCAAAAGUACAUUUUACACUCUUGACCUCGGAUCAGGUAGGGAUACCCGCUGAACUUAAGCAUAUCAAUAAGCGGAGGA